rnacentral:misc_RNA from 1 species
GGCGGUUCAGGCAAAUCUCUAUACUCACCGGAGUAUGUUUCAUCAAGCUUAGGCAAAUGGAAAACCAAAGACAAUCCCAGGGCAGUUGUAGGAAAGAAAAUAUAGAGCAAAACAUCGAACUCUCUAGCGAUUUCGAUGGCAUCUGUGCCGAAAAGAUCAACAACUAGAGCUACAACCGGAGAUGCCUCGGUUAAAGCCUUAAAAGAUUCACGGAGUGCAGAAAGAGAGCGAGACAAGCUAAGUACGAUCCGAGUCUCCAUUUUAACAUCCUGAGGGAGGUCAUCAAAGCUAACCGGAGAAAGAAAGAUGGAGGAUAUGGUAUUGGGUAAGGCUUGAAGAAGUUGCCUUUGGGGUUUCAUGGGCGAGCCAUCGUUAGGCACAAGGAAGGUGACUAAGAAAUUGUGUUGGUGAACGAGUCUUUUGGCUAACUCAAUCAUCGGAAUUAGAUGACCCAUCCCCGGAGUUGGCACCAUGGCUAUGUGGGAUGGUGCUUGCAGCUGCAGGGUAGAAGCCAUGGCAAUAAGACUAGUGAGAUUUGGGUGUCGGUGAACUGAAUUCCAGGCUAUUGGGCUUUAUAGGAAAAGAGGAAAGAAAAUAAUUAAAGAUUCAAGCUUUAAGCUAAGCUUUGAUAAAUUAAAAACGAGGAGUUGAAAAUUGGCUUGUUUAAAGAUAAAUUAAGAG